UUUCCAGCUGCAUCCAUGUCCCUACAAAGGACUCAGUGGGCAAAGGAUAUGAACAGACAUUUCUCAAAAGGAAUUGGCUUUUAAAUGAGAGCCACAUGAAUGGAAAUCCUGACUCCACAAACUUGGAUUUCUCGUUCUCUCAUCCAGAUGCACUGGAUAAACCAUGAGGCUGCUCAUUUAAUAAAUCUACUGUUUCACAGUGUGGUCCUUUCAAGAUAGUGGAAUUUAAGUUCCCACACAGCCGUUUCAGUAUGUCAAGGGAUGAAGAAGGAACAUCACUGGAGCUAGGCGUUUUGGAAGAAAAG